AUUGAACGCUGGCGGCAUGCCUUACACAUGCAAGUCGAACAGCAGCACGGGGCAACCUGGUGGCGAGUGGCGAACGGGUGAGUAAUACAUCGGAACGUGCCCAAUCGUGGGGGAUAACGUAGCGAAAGUUACGCUAAUACCGCAUACGAUCUACGGAUGAAAGCGGGGGAUCGCAAGACCUCGCGCGAAUGGAGCGGCCGAUGUCAGAUUAGGUAGUUGGUGGGGUAAAGGCCUACCAAGCCGACGAUCUGUAGGUGGUAUGAGAGGACGACCAGCCACACUGGGACUGAGACACGGCCCAGACUCCUACGGGAGGCAGCAGUGGGGAAUUUUGGACAAUGGGCGCAAGCCUGAUCCAGCAAUGCCGCGUGCAGGAUGAAGGCCUUCGGGUUGUAAACUGCUUUUGUGCGGAACGAAACGGCGAGCUCUAAUAUAGUUUGCUAAUGACGGUACCGUAAGAAUAAGCACCGGCUAACUACGAGCCAGCCGCCGCAGUAACAC
rnacentral:rRNA from 1 species